rnacentral:lncRNA from 1 species
CGUUAUGAUAAGUAUGUCUAGUGGAGGGGGCUUCCUACUGCCAACACUGCAAGACACCAUGUUGUCUGACACCAGGCCAUUAGGCUGUUCUUGUCUUGAGUCAAACCAUGUUGUCUGACACCAGGCCAUUAGGCUGUUCUUGUCUUGAGUCAAGACACCAUAUUGCCUGACACUGUUAGGUUCUACUCCGGUACGGUACUCGGAUACGGAGGCAGAGAAAAUCUCCGACCAGAUGUAUUCACCCAACAGGAUACCCUCAGCUGUAUAGCAGCACAGUGCUACAGAGCCAGUCUUAUCUACAGUACCUGGGGUGAAUGUCUCAGCAGGAUGGGACAGGCUGGACCAGAUGGCUGUUUGGCUCUGAUCUCCCUUCAGAUACCAUUCUGAUAUCUGCAUCUUGUCAUUCUCACUUCUCUCCCCAACUGCUACGUUGAAAGCCAUCAUCUCACUUCCCACAGAAACUAGCCAUUUGGACAGUAACUUAACCUUGACCCUAUCAUAACCCUGACAGAAGGUUUCUAUUGACCUUUAGGGAAUCAUUCAUGCAGUCCGAAGCAGUCCCCUAUCCCUAUGCCUAAAUACAAUGCACAUAGAUUCACCCAAUCCCAUAACAGGAUGAUUACUACGGAUUAUUCUAGAAAAGGUUAUAGUGUCAUAACGGCCUCCAACAGCACCGUUGAAUUUGUCUUACAAUGUUGGGAAAAGCUUUCUCCAAUAUUCUGCUAUUUUAUACUGAAAGAUACAUUUCUGUAGCUCAAAGAAAGGAAAACCGCUUAUGAUCGGCAGAUAUUUUAUUUUGAUUUAACCUUUAUUUAACUAGGCAAGUCAGUUAAGAACAAAUUCUUAUUUACAAUGACGGCCUACCAAAAGGCAAAAAGACCUGAGGGGACAGGGGCUGGGAUUAAAAAUAUCUUUCUAUUAUGGUUUUAUUUGGUAAAUCAAGUGAGGUUGGUUGCAUAAAACAAGUAUGAAAGACUAUUUUACUAUAUACAAAUUACACUUCCAUCAGAGGUUAAUGUUUGUGAAUAUAUAAAGCACAUUAUAUUUGCAUAUCAGUCAAUACAUUGACAGAUCUGUCUUGGGGAUUUAACCAGAAGCUAACUAAAUGCUAUUGUCGAUCCAUAGACUACAAUACUAGCGUUGUAGCCAUUAGAUUACGUGAAUGUGUCAUGCCUUGCUACCCAGGAACCAAACACAUAGAACAGAAGGGACCAGGGAAAAACAAACAAGGAUCAUUAUGUUCCAGAAGUGCUUUUAUCUUUAGACUGAGCAGCAGUUUUUCCAGGUCACUGGGUAGUUGUGUGUGGGUGGGAACAUACUUCUCACAGAGAGAAAAAGGGAGGGAGAGAAUCAGUCUGUCUCUCUAGCUCUGAACCAGGUAACAGGUUGCUGCUGCCUGUCUCUCUAGCUCUGAACCAGGUAACAGGUUUCUGCUGCCUGUCUCUCUCUAGCUCUGAACCAGGUAACAGGUUUCUGCUGCCUGUCUCUCUAGCUCUGAACCAGGUAACAGGUUUCUGCUGCCUGUCUCUCUCUAGCUCUGAACCAGGUAACAGGUUUCUGCUGCCUGUCUCUCUAGCUCUGAACCAGGCAUCAGGUUUCUGCUGCCUGUCGGCCUGUCUCUCUAGCUCUGAACCAGGUAACAGGUUUCUGCUGCCUGUCGGCCUGUCUCUCUCUAGCUCUGAACCAGGCAUCAGAUUUCUGCUGCCUGUCUCUCUAGCUCUGAACCAGGCAACAGGUUUCUGCUGCCUGUCGGCCUGUCUCUCUCUAGCUCUGAACCAGGCAUCAGGUUUCUGCUGCCUGUCGGCCUGUCUCUCUCUAGCUCUGAACCAGGUAACAGGUUUAUGCUGCCUGUCGGCCUGUCUCUCUCUAGCUCUGAACCAGGCAUCAGGUUUCUGCUGCCUGUCGGCCUGUCUCUCUCUAGCUCUGAACCAGGCAUCAGGUUUCUGCUGCCUGUCUCUCUCUAGCUCUGAACCAGGUAACAGGUUUCUGCUGCCUGUGGGCCUGUCUCUCUCUAGCUCUGAACCAGGCAACAGGUUUCUGCUGCCUGUCGGCCUGUCUCUCUCUAGCUCUGAACCAGGCAUCAGGUUUCUGCUGCCUGUCGGCCUGUCUCUCUCUAGCUCUGAACCAGGCAUCAGGUUUCUGCUGCCUGUCGGCCUGUCUCUCUAGCUCUGAACCAGGCAUCAGGUUUCUGCUGCCUGUCGGCCUGUCUCUCUCUAGCUCUGAACCAGGCAUCAGGUUUCUGCUGCCUGUCGGCCUGUCUCUCUCUAGCUCUGAACCAGGCAUCAGGUUUCUGCUGCCUGUCUGCCUGUCUCUCUCUAGCUCUGAACCAGGCAACAGGUUUCUGCUGCCUGUCUCUCUAGCUCUGAACCAGGUAACAGGUUUCUGUUUUAUUCAACUCAUGAAUGAAUGUUCCCAUAUUGCUGCCUGGCAACCAGCCAGUAUCAGGAGAAAAGGGAACAUCUUGUUCCGUUAGUUAUGCUGCACAGAGUAGAACAGGCUGUGGCCAAAGUUAUGAAAUGAAGAAAGGAAGGGAGGGGAAAAUUAACAAUAGAAAAAGGAGAGUAGGAGCAGAGGGUGUAUAACUGGACUGUGUGUUUGAUUGAAUUCAUAUCUUAUACCAAUGUAUGGAAUAAUAUAAAGGGAGGGUCUUUUCAAUCCAUAUCGCGGAAGUUCAGCGUUACGUCACGAUUUAAAUUUAAAAGGCAAUGUUAGUGGAGAGUGCAUUCACGGUAAACGCUGUAAUAUGUCGACUCAAUCAGAAAUGACCUUUAAAUUUAUAGCGUGCAAUCUGUAACGCCUCAGCGAAUAGAGAUUGAAUAAAGGCUGAAGUCUGUUUUUAGAGAGCGCUUGCAGAAAUGGCAUUUUUCAGGGUAGGAUAGGGAGUGACGCAAAAUGUAAAACAUGUUCGACACCGACUGGCUUGAUCAAGUCCAUAUUUCUGUGCUGAGAGGACAGACAGAGUGGAAGAUGUCUUCUCCCUCGUCUUCCUCUUGGAGUCUUUCCCUCUUUGUGUUUCAACCUGUUGAUUGGUGGUGGUGUGACUCUACUGGACCGCUCUGUUGGCUGGGGGGCGCUGGACCGGGGGCGCUGGACCCGGGGCGCUGGACCGGGGACGCUGGACCGGGGGCGCUGGACCGGGAGCUGGACCGGGGAGCUGGACCGGGGAGCUGGACUGGGGGGCGCUGGACCGGGGUGCUGGACGGGAGCACUGGGCGAGGGCGGUGGGCUGGACGGGGCGGUGGGCUGGACGGGGCGGUGCAUGGUUUGGGGCUCCCCCAGAACCACACUGACCCACCUUCCUUUAGAUAUUCCCC